rnacentral:rRNA from 1 species
GACGAACGCUGGCGGCGUGCUUAACACAUGCAAGUCGAACGGAAACGCCCUGCUUUUGUGGGCUUCUCGAGUGGCGAACGGGUGAGUAACACGUGAGUAACCGGCCCUAGACUUUGGGAUAACUUCAGGUAACGGGAGCUAAUACCAGAUAGGAUCUGCCGCUCCGUUGUGGGGGGUGGAAAGUUUAGGCGGUUGGGGCUGGACGCGCGGCUGACCAGCUUGCUGGUUGGGGAGUGGCUUACCAAGGCAUUGGCGGGUAGCCGGCAGGGGAGGGUGACCGGCGACAGUGGGACUGAGAUACGGCCCAGACUCCAACGGGAGGCAGCGGUGGGGAAUAUUGCACAAUGGGAGGAAGCCUGAUGCAGCAACGCCGCGUGCGGGAUGACGGCCUUCGGGUUGUAAACCGCUUUCGCCUGUGACGAAGCGUGAGUGACGGUACUGGGUAAAGAAGCACCGGCUAACUACGUG